CGCUGCAGCCGAGCAGAACGCUGAGCCGCUCCGCCCCGCGGCCUCCUCUCCAGCCGCCGCGCCCGCCUCCUGCAGGCCACCUCAAGCAUUAGAACUACCAACAAACAACCCUGAUGCGACCUCUCCAGAUUGUCCCAAGUCGAUUGAUUUCCCAGCUAUAUUGUGGCCUGAAGCCUCCAGCCUCCACACGAAACCAGAUUUGCCUGAAAAUGGCUCGGCCAAGUUCAAGUAUGGCAGAUUUUCGGAAGUGUUUUGCAAAAGCAAAGCACAUAGUCAUCAUCUCAGGCGCAGGUGUUAGUGCGGAAAGUGGUGUUCCGACUUUCAGAGGAGCUGGAGGUUACUGGAGAAAAUGGCAAGCCCAGGACCUGGCGACUCCCCUGGCCUUUGCCCACAACCCGUCCCGGGUGUGGGAGUUCUACCACUACCGGCGGGAGGUCAUGGGGAGCAAGGAGCCCAACGCCGGGCACCGCGCCAUAGCCGAGUGUGAGACCCGGCUGGGUAAGCAGGGCCGGCGAGUCGUGGUCAUCACCCAGAACAUCGAUGAGUUGCACCGCAAGGCUGGCACCAAGAACCUUCUGGAGAUCCAUGGUAGCUUAUUUAAAACUCGAUGUACCUCUUGUGGCGUUGUGGCUGAGAAUUACAAGAGUCCAAUUUGUCCAGCUUUAUCAGGAAAAGGUGCUCCAGAACCUGGAACUCAAGAUGCCAGCAUCCCAGUUGAGAAACUUCCCCGGUGUGAAGAGGCAGGCUGCGGAGGCUUGCUGCGCCCUCACGUCGUGUGGUUUGGAGAAAACCUGGAUCCUGCCAUUCUGGAGGAGGUUGACAAAGAGCUCGGCCGCUGUGAUUUAUGUCUAGUGGUGGGUCACGGCUUUCCCUGACCCCAAGACAGGACUGGAGUGGGCACUUCCUCUGUGGUGUACCCAGCCGCCAUGUUUGCCCCCCAGGUGGCUGCCAGGGGCGUGCCAGUGGCAGAAUUUAAUACGGAGACCACCCCAGCUACGAACAGAUUCAGGUUUCAUUUCCAGGGACCCUGUGGAACGACUCUUCCUGAAGCCCUUGCCCGUCAUGAAAAUGAAACUGUUUCUUAAGUGUCCUGGGGAAGAAAGAAAUUAGAGUAUAUCUAAGAACUAGGCCACAUGCAGAGGAGAAAUGGUCUUACGGGUGGUGAGCUGAAUAUUGAACAAUCUAAAAAUAGCCUCUGAUUCCCUAGCUAGAAUCCAACCUGUUGAUAAGCGAUGGGGGCGUAGAAGUAGCAAAGAGCACCCACAUUCAAAAGUCACAGAACUGUAAAGUUAAUGCGUAUUAUUUGGUCUGAACUGAAACGUAAGAUAUCUUGGAUGUGUAUGGUUGGUUAUUGGGAGGGAAAAAUUUUGUAAAUUAGAUUGUCUUAAAAAAAUAUAGUUAUCCUGAUCAUAUUUUUGUUAUUUGGGCAAGGUAGAAGUUGAGGGGUAAAAACCCUACUAUUUAAUUCUGAUUUUUGCACAAGUUUUAGUGGAAAAUAAAAUCACACUCUAUAGUAGGUAAUUUAUUAUAUAAAGAUGUUACCCCAGGAUAUGGCUUUAUGGGGGACUUUUUUUUUUUUUUUGAGACAGAGUUUCACUCUUGUUGCCCAGGCUGGAGUGCAAUGGGGCGAUCUCAGCUCACUGCAACCUCCAUCUCCCGGGUUCAAGAGACUCUCCUGCCUCAGCCUGCUGAGUAGCUGGGAUUACAGGCGUGCACCACCACGCCCGGCUAAUUUUGUAUUUUUAGUAGAGAUGGGGUUCCUCCAUGUUGGUCCGGCUGGUCUUGAACUCCCAACCUCAGGUGAUCCGCCCGCCUCGGCCUCCCAAAAUGCUGGGAUUACAGGCAUGAACCACCGCGCCAGGCUUACUGGGGGCUUUUUAACCUUAUUUGGCUACAUUACCUCAGUGAACAAGAGGCAGCUCACAACAGGAACUCAUGCAAAGAAGGAAGAGAAUAGUACCAACAAGGUAGAACAUCACGAUGAGAAGAAAGAACGAUGCAAAUAUGUGAACCCCCAGGAUAAACACAGCUGCCUAAAAUUUAGCUCUGGCUCCCUUAGAAGGGGGAAGAGUCAACAGUGGACUGUUUCUCAUCGUCACAAAUGCAGAAGCAUAUGGUUCCUGUGGGACCUGCCAACCGUUCCCAGACACUGAACUCUGUUGGGAGUUUUUUCCAUGGGACUUUAAAAACUGAUGCCCUUAUGUUGGGCCAGACCUCUGUUAACUUCAGUAGGGAUGGCACCAGGUUCAAGGGGCCAAAGAAGAGACCUGGAGCCAGUGAAGGAAACAUAGGGUAUAUUUGGGGAACUUUACAGGGUGGUCCAGUGGCAGCGGGCUGGACAGAACUGCAACCACUUAUAAAAAGCAUGCAGUUUAUAUAGCACUUUCACUCAGCACCCUCCCCGCAGCAACCUCCAAUGGCAAACCUCAUUUCUUAAGUUAUUGCUGUCAGAUGCAUCUGCCAUACAGGGUCAUUCUCAGGCAAUGCUUAAGUUAUUUCCAUCAGGUACAUUUUCCAUACACUUUACUACCUUGGAGUAAAGUAGCAAGAAUACAGCUUUUUCCCUAACCUUUACCAGCUAACUCAGUGCUUAGGGGCCUUGGAAUGCCUGCUGCCCAACAAGUGUCAGAGGCCUGACUGGGAGGCAUGGCCAUUAUCAACAGUGUAUGAAGGUCAUACAUGACAGGGUCCCUUGGAUCCAGUGGGCUCCCUGAAGUGAUUACAUACUUGGACCACAUCACCUCAGCCCCUUGCAAAAUUGCAUUUAAUGUUACACCCUUGGCUUUUGUAGAAACAGGCAACAAGACACUGUCAUAUAAAACUUUGUACUGCAUUACAAGGCAUAACCUUUAAUAAAUCCCAAUGGUACUUUUUGUGGGGAAGAGGGAUGCUCAUAGCCUAUGGGGUGGCUGGAGAACUAGUCAGGGACCCUGAGGGCUCGAUUUACACUUUACAUGGGUGGGCCAAGGAGUUUACACUGAGGGCACUGGUAAUACCUGUAAUAGUCUUAUAGUACUUAUAAAGCAGUUUUGCACAUAAAAUACCGUCAUGCGCUUAUAAGAAGUUUGUUCCUGGGCUGCUCCAAGUUAACUGUAUUCAUUUUCCUAGUGUUAGCACAGUAUCUCAGGGAGUCUGAUUAUAUUUUUGAUUUGUAAUCUAUCUUAGACUAAGGCCUACAGAUUUCAAACUGUUCUUUGCAAUUCCUCUCAUAAUGAACCUCUGGUUCGGCAGCUUUUUUUGUUGUUGUUGUUCUUAAGUUUUACCAUUUUUGUUCCUAUUUGGUUUUGUUGUUUUUAAAUUGGGAACUGCUUCUAAAACAGAAGACAUGAAAGGAGAAUUAAAAACACAAUAUAUGUGUGAGAUAGAAUUAUCCAACUUAGCAUUUAUUAAACAUCUGCCAUAUGAUAGACAUUAGAAAUAAAAUGACUAGCAAGACCUGGUCCUUCCCCUCGGGAGUUCACAGAACGGCUGGAGCAACUGUCAUACAAACUGUUACGCAGCGCAGAAACUACAUAGACAUUUGUGCGGGUUCAGACCACAGCAGAUAGAGAUGGGCAGAGUGGGAUGGGGUAGGGGGUAAGGUGCUUGAAGUUUGCCUGGGUGGGAAUUUUUGAAGUAUGAAAAGGACUUCUGCCUGGGGGAUUGCAGCAGUAGAGGGAAGAGCACGGUCGGUACAAUUGCAUUGCAGGUGUGAAACGGCUUGAUUUGUUCAAAGAAUGAUGGAUCAUUUAGUAUUGUAUAAUGGAUGGGAGGAGAGAAACACGGCGAUCACAAAGGGCCAUGUUUGCCAAGAAAUAAAAUAUACUUGGAAAAAAA